UGUUAUAAAAAACGCUAAUUUUGAAGCGCUCCCACACUGGACAUCCCUUUAUUCCUGUCAAGAAUGAUAGAAUCAUUCUUGAUACACGCUAUUAUGGCUUAUGACAAGCCAAUAUAAAUAUAUUGGCUAAGUCUCCCAUACAAAAUAAGGUAAUAGCUUGGUCAAAUAAAACACGCCUAAUAUGUACAAGUAUGUAUAUUAACAAUGCAUUCUAACACUAUGUAUCGGGUGAUUUUUUAAGAGCUUGAUAACUUUUUUAAAAAAAAAACGCAUAAAAUUUGCAAAAUCUCAUCGGUUCUUUAUUUGAAACGUUAGAUUGGUUCAUGACAUUUACUUUUUGAAGAUAAUUUCAUUUAAAUGUUGACCGCGGCUGCGUUUUAGGUGGUCCAUUCGGAAAGUCCAAUUUUGGGCAACUUUUUCGAGCAUUUCGGCCGGAAUAGCCCGAAUUUCUUCGGAAAUGUUGUCUUCCAAAGCUGGAAUAGUUGCUGGCUUAUUUCUGUAGACUUUAGACUUGACGUAGCCCCACAAAAAAUAGUCUAAAGGCGUUAAAUCGCAUGAUCUUGGUGGCCAACUUACGGGUCCAUUUCUUGAGAUGAAUUGUUCUCCGAAGUUUUCCCUCAAAAUGGCCAUAGAAUCGCGAGCUGUGUGGCAUGUAGCGCCAUCUUGUUGAAACCACAUGUCAACCAAGUUCAGUUCUUCCAUUUUUGGCAACAAAAAGUUUGUUAGCAUCGAACGAUAGCGAUCGCCAUUCACCGUAACGUUGCGUCCAACAGCAUCUUUGAAAAAAUACGGUCCAAUGAUUCCACCAGCGUACAAACCACACCAAACAGUGCAUUUUUCGGGAUGCAUGGGCAGUUGGCCACCAAGAUCAUGCGAUUUAACGCCUUUAGACUAUUUUUUGUGGGGCUACGUCAAGUCUAAAGUCUACAGAAAUAAGCCAGCAACUAUUCCAGCUUUGGAAGACAACAUUUCCGAAGAAAUUCGGGCUAUUCCGGCCGAAAUGCUCGAAAAAGUUGCCCACAAUUGGACUUUCCGAAUGGACCACCUAAGACGCAGCCGCGGUCAACAUUUAAAUGAAAUUAUCUUCAAAAAGUAAAUGUCAUGAACCAAUCUAACGUUUCAAAUAAAGAACCGAUGAGAUUUUGCAAAUUUUAUGGGUUUUUUUUUAAAAAAAAAUUAUCAAGCUCUUAAAAAAUCACCCGAUAUCAA